rnacentral:rRNA from 1 species
CAGCAGCCGCGGUAAUACCGAGGGUGCGAGCGUUAAUCGGAUUUACUGGGCGUAAAGCGUGCGUAGGCGGCUAAUUGAGUCGGAUGUGAAAUCCCCGAGCUUAACUUGGGAAUUGCAUUCGAUACUGGUUAGCUAGAGUGUGGGAGAGGAUGGUAGAAUUCCAGGUGUAGCGGUGAAAUGCGUAGAGAUCUGGAGGAAUACCGAUGGCGAAGGCAGCCAUCUGGCCUAACACUGACGCUGAGGUACGAAAGCAUGGGGAGCAAACAGGAUUAGAUACCCCGAUAGUCCCUGUCUCUUAUAU